rnacentral:misc_RNA from 1 species
GAUGAAGAACGUAGCGAAAUGCGAUAAGUAAUGUGAAUUGCAGAAUUCAGUGAAUCAUCGAAUCUUUGAUCGCACCUUGCACCCUUUGGCAUUCCGAAGGGUAUGCUCGUUUGAGUGUCAUUGUACUCUCACACUCUCCGAUCCUAUGGAUUCGGGGAGCGGUGGACUUGGGUGUUGCUGCCUUUCCUUGUGGCUCACCUCAAAUGUGUCAGUGCACCUCUUGGUUGGACAUAGUACGGCGUGAUAAGUGUCUUCGCCGGCACCUCGCAAGAGGGUGGCCGAUCGGGAGCUCUGUGCUUUCAAACCGUCUUCGGACAAUUUCUGACAACUUGACCUCAAAUCGAGUAGGACUACCCGCUGAACUUAAGCAUAUCAAUAAGCGGAGGA